rnacentral:lncRNA from 1 species
CGCUGCUUCACCUGGCCCCCAAAGACACACGUGACUCACCACCCCAUCUCUGACCAUGAGGCCACCCUGAGGUGCUGGGCCCUGGGCUUCUACCCUGCGGAGAUCACACUGACCUGGCAGCAGGAUGGGGAGGGCCAUACCCAGGACACGGAGCUCGUGGAGACCAGGCCUGCAGGGGAUGGAACCUUCCAGAAGUGGGCAGCUGUGGUGGUGCCUUCUGGAGAGGAGCAGAGAUACACGUGCCAUGUGCAGCAUGAGGGGCUACCCGAGCCCGUCACCCUGAGAUGGACCGGCUUCCCAGCCCACCAUCCCCAUCGUGGGCAUCAUUGCUGGCCUGGUUCUCCUUGGAUCUGUGGUCUCUGGAGCUGUGGUUGCUGCUGUGAUAUGGAGGAAGAAGAGCUCAGGUGGAAAAGGAGGGAGCUACUCUAAGGCUGAGUGGAGCGACAGUGCCCAGGGGUCUGAGUCUCACAGCUUGUAAAGCCUGAGACAGCUGCCUUGUGUGCGACUGAGAUGCACAGCUGCCUUGUGUGCGACUGAGAUGCAGGAUUUCCUCACGCCUCCCCUAUGUGUCUUAGGGGACUCUGGCUUCUCUUUUUGCAAGGGCCUCUGAAUCUGUCUGUGUCCCUGUUAGCACAAUGUGAGGAGGUAGAGAAAC